AUUGAACGCUGGCGGCAGGCCUAACACAUGCAAGUCGAGCGGAUGAAGGGAGCUUGCUCCUGGAUUCAGCGGCGGACGGGUGAGUAAUGCCUAGGAAUCUGCCUGGUAGUGGGGGAUAACGUCCGGAAACGGGCGCUAAUACCGCAUACGUCCUGAGGGAGAAAGUGGGGGAUCUUCGGACCUCACGCUCUCAGAUGAGCCUAGGUCGGAUUAGUUAGUUGGUGGGGUAAAGGCCUACCAAGGCGACGAUCCGUAACUGGUCUGAGAGGAUGAUCAGUCACACUGGAACGUAGACACGGUCCAGACUCCUACGGGAGGCAGCAGUGGGGAAUAUUGGACAAUGGGCGAAAGCCUGAUCCAGCCAUGCCGCGUGUGUGAAGAAGGUCUUCGGAUUGUAAAGCACUUUAAGUUGGGAGGAAGGGCAGUAAGUUAAUACCUUGCUGUUUUGACGUUACCAACAGAAUAAGCACCGGCUAACUUCGUG
rnacentral:rRNA from 1 species